UACGUAGGGGGCAAGCGUUGUCCGGAAUCAUUGGGCGUAAAGAGCGUGUAGGCGGCUUGGCAAGUCUGGUGUGAAAUCUUGCGGCUCAACCGCAAGCGGUCACUGGAAACUGCCUCGCUAGAGUCCGGAAGAGGAGAGCGGAAUUCCUGGUGUAGCGGUGGAAUGCGCAGAUAUCAGGAGGAACACCGGUGGCGAAGGCGGGUCUCUGGGCCGAUACUGACGCUGAGGAGCGAAAGCGUGGGGAGCGAACAGG
rnacentral:rRNA from 1 species